ensembl:lncRNA
GUGUGCCCCUGGCUAUCCAUACAUUUUUAAAACAAGAAAAUGAUGCCUUCUGCUUUGCUUAAUAUCAGGAAUUUGAAAUGAUUUAUGCUUGUACUUUCACUUUUGAUACUUAAAUAUAUUUAGAACCAAGUACUUUUAGACUUUUACUCAAGUAGUAUUUUACUGGGUGACUUUUACUUGAGUAACUUUCUAUUUAGGUAUCGAUACUUUUAAUCAAGUAUGAUAAUUGGUUAUUUUUCCACCACUGGAUAUGAUGUGAUGUCAUCUUUGUGCUGCAGCAAUGCUGUCAACAUGUUUGCCACAGCAGAGGGCCUCCUGACCCAGGAGGACCUCGUCAACAAAGACUGACUACAGGAAGUGUUUGCCACAAACCUCUUUGGUCAUUUCAUGCUGCACUCACUGUUUGUGCAAAAACCGGAGUCCCUGGAUCCAAGAGCAAAGUACCACUGUUUGACGUCAGACAUAGGGAGCAACUACACGCAACCUCGACAAAUGGACGUUGAUGACGACGUGUCAGGGGCCCUGUAUGUGAAACUGCUGGAAAUGGAAAAAGCUACUCAUAAGUGAUUAAAAGAGGAGGAUGAUGAUAAACAAGCUUACAAAAAGUACCUCCACCAGACAGAGUCGUCUUUUGUCCGGCUAUUCUCCUCGACUGACCUAGUAUAAAACCACUUGACUUUUAUUCUAUAAGAUAGAAUCUAUAUGGAUGAAACGGUUUAACUCCCAAUGUGAAUGGAAGGAAACCGUGUGCUCUGUAUAAAUUGACCAUCGCCAUGAGGCACUACACUCUCAUUGUCUUACGUCAGAUGGCGUCACUACUACGCAACGCUUGUCCCCUCAACCAAUCAGUGCAGGUGGAAUCGUAGCGCUAUCUGACGUAAGACAAUGGAGGAACCCUCUAACAAAGAUCACAUGGGUCUCUUUCAGGUUCCAAAUAACACCUAUACUGAAACGCUAUUAAAAUGGAAUUCAAUGGGGGACAUUUGUUAUCGUCACUUUGAAAGGGACUAGGCUGUAAAUUCCUGCUGCUAACUCAUUGAUCUAAAUGUGGUGGCUCUAUACUAUGAAGACCUUUUGUGAA